GUUGCGCCCAUCGUGGCCUACAGCAGACCCAACGUGGAUGUGUUACACGGCCAGACCAUAAGCCUGCCCUGCCUCGUGCUCCUGGGUAACCCGCCGCCCGAGGUCACGUGGUACAAAGAUGGCGAACCGUUGGUUUCACGUGAAGACGGCGUCAUCAUCCGUCCGGAUUCUACCCUGGUCAUCCACGACACGAGCGUCGAGCACACGGGCGCCUACCAGUGUCUGGUGAGCAACGUGGGAGGCAACGCCACACUCGAGGUCGUCAUCAACGUACAAGUGCCUCCAGCGAUCAUACUAGAGGAACGGAACUAUGUAGUGGAGCAAGGCAAUGACGUCACACUGCAAUGUCGGCACGAACGGAAACCC